rnacentral:rRNA from 1 species
CGCGUAGGUGGCGGGACAAGCGUGCGGUGAAAGCUCGGGGGCUCAACCCCGAGUCGGCCGUGCGAACUGUUUUGCUUGAGCACUGUAGAGGCAGGCGGAAUUCCGGGUGUAGCGGUGGAAUGCGUAGAGAUCCGGAAGAACACCGGUGGCGAAGGCGGCCUGCUGGGCAGUAGCUGACACUGAGGCGCGACAGCGUGGGAGCAAACA